rnacentral:rRNA from 1 species
UUGCCCUACGGGGCGCAGCAGUAGGGAAUCUUCGGCAAUGGGGGCAACCCUGACCGAGCAACGCCGCGUGAGUGAAGAAGGUUUUCGGAUCGUAAAGCUCUGUUGUAAGAGAAGAACGUGUGUGAGAGUGGAAAGUUCACACAGUGACGGUAACUUACCAGAAAGGGACGGCUAACUACGUGCCAGCAGCCGCGGUAAUACGUAGGUCCCGAGCGUUAUCCGGAUUUAUUGGGCGUAAAGCGAGCGCAGGCGGUAUGUCAAGUCUGAAGGUAAAGGGCGUGGCUUUAACAUUGUA